rnacentral:rRNA from 1 species
UACGUAGGGGGCAAGCGUUGUCCGGAAUUAUUGGGCGUAAAGAGCUCGUAGGCGGCUUGUCACGUCGGGGGUGAAAGCCCGGGGCUUAACCCCGGGUCUGCAUUCGAUACGGGCUGGCUAGAGUGUGGUAGGGGAGAUCGGAAUUCCUGGUGUAGCGGUGAAAUGCGCAGAUAUCAGGAGGAACACCGAUGGCGAAGGCAGUUCUCUGGGCCGUAACUGACGCUGAGGAGCGAAAGCGUGGGGAGCGAACAGG